GACGAACGCUGGCGGCGUGCCUAAUACAUGCAAGUCGAACGCUUCUUUCCUCCCGUGUGCUUGCACUCAAUUGGAAGUAGGAGUGGCGGACGGGUUAGUAACACGUGGGUAACCUACCGAUCUGAGGGGGAUAACACCUGGAAACAGGUGCUAAUACCGCAUAACAGUUUAUGCCGCAUGGCAUAAGAGUGAAAGGCGCUAUCGGCCGUCGCUGACGGAUGGACCCGCGGUGCAUUAGCUAGUUGGGGAGGUAACGGCUCACCAAGGCCACGACGCAUAGGCGACCUGAGGGGGUGAUCGGCCACACGGGGACUGAGACACGGCCCAGACUCCUGCGGGAGGCAGCAGUAGGGAAUCUUCGGCAAUGGAGGAAAGUCUGACCGAGGAACGCCGCGGGAGGGCAGAAGGUUUUCGGAUCGUAAAGCUCUGUUGGUAGAGAAGAACAAGGACGUUAGUAACUGAACGUCCCAUGACGGUAUCUAGCCAAAAAGCCACGGCUAACUACGUG
rnacentral:rRNA from 1 species